GAACGAACGCUGGCGGCAGGCCUACCACAUGCAAGUCGAGCGCGCCCUUCGGGGUGAGCGGCGGACGGGUGAGUAACGCGUGGGAACGUGCCCUUUUCUACGGAAUAGCCUCGGGAAACUGAGAGUAAUACCGUAUACGCCCUUUGGGGGAAAGAUUUAUCGGAAAAGGAUCGGCCCGCGUUGGAUUAGGUAGUUGGUGGGGUAAUGGCCUACCAAGCCGACGAUCCAUAGCUGGUUUGAGAGGAUGAUCAGCCACACUGGGACUGAGACACGGCCCAGACUCCUACGGGAGGCAGCAGUGGGGAAUCUUAGACAAUGGGGGCAACCCUGAUCUAGCCAUGCCGCGUGAGUGAUGAAGGCCUUAGGGUUGUAAAGCUCUUUCAGCUGGGAAGAUAAUGACGGUACCAGCAGAAGAAGCCCCGGCUAACUCCGUG
rnacentral:rRNA from 1 species